GCCGGGCAUGGUGGCUCAUGCCUGUGAUCCCAGCACUUUGGAGGCUGAGGCGGGAGGAUCGCUUGAGGUCAGGAGUUCGAGACCAACCUGGCCAACAUGGCGAAAUCCCAUCUCUA
rnacentral:SRP_RNA from 1 species